GUCCCCGUAGCUCAGAAGGAUAGAGCACGAGAUUCUAAUCUCGAGGUCGGCGGUCUGAAUCCGCCCGGGGACA
rnacentral:tRNA from 1 species